CAGCAGCCCAAUGCAGCAGAGAUAGACUCUUCCAGAGAGUCCACUGCAGCAGACACAUACUCCUCCCAGAAGUCCACUUCAGCAGGCACAGACUCUUCCCAGCAGACUGCUGCAACAGAGACAGAUUUUCCCAGUCCACUGUAAAGACACAGACUCUUUCCAGCAGCCCAUUGCAACAGAGGUAGACUCUUCCAGAGAGCCUACUGCAUCAGACACAGACUCCUCCCAGACAUCCACUGCAACAGAAACAGAUUCUCCCCUGAGCCCACUGCAGGCAGUCACAGACACUUCCCAGAAGUCCACUGCAACAGAAACAGAUUCUUCCCCUGAGCCCACAGCAACAGUCACAGAUUCUUCUCAGCAUUCCAUUGUAACAUACACCGACUCUUCACAAAACCCACUGCUAGAGUCACAGACUCUUCAGACACAGACUCUUCUCAGAAACCUGCUGCAACAACCACAGACUACUUCCAGCAGUCCUUUGCAACAGAGACAGACUCCUCCCAGCAGCACGCUGCAAAAGAGACAGACUCUUCCAAGACACACACUGUAACAGCCACAGACUCUCUCCAGCUGUCCAUUCCAACAGAGACUGACUUGUCCCAGCAGCUCACUGUAACAGAAAGUGAAUUUUCCCCAAAUCCCACCAAAACAGAGACAGACACUUCCAAACAUCCUAUUAAAACAGAAAAUGAAUCCCUUCAAGACAUCACUGCAACAAAAUCUGACUGUGUGAAUGCGAAAAAAGAUGAUAACUUAUCCGAAGCCUUUAGCAAACUAAUACCCAUUCUAGAGGCUAACAUUACUCAAAAAGACCAUAGCAUAUCUCAAAAUCCAGUCAUCACAGACUUAAAUUCCCCAGCUGAACAUUCCCAAUCUGAUACCGUUACACCUUGUAAUAGCCAAGUGGAACUAAACCAAACACAAGGAUGUAUAACUCGUACAGUAAAAGACACAGAUAAUGGUGCUUUAACUAGUCUUGAUUCAAUGGAGGUGAGCUCAACUCAGCCUCAAGGUUCACCAGAACCUUGCCUGUCCUCGGAUGAGAUCAACUCAACUCAGGGAAUAACACAAUUACAGUCUAACUUAUCAUCAAAUCCUAUGGAACCUAGCUAUCAAAAAGACUCAAAGCCUGAGAAAACAGAUGAGCACCAUAAAUCUGACACCAUUACAGAGCAAACUCAGAGUCAUGAUACUUCAGCUAUAGAUUCAGGGCCUCAGAUAGAAGUUUAUACCGCAAUAGACUCUAACGGGGUUGAUAAAAUUAAACCAACAGCACCAGAGGUAGAAAACACUGUGACUAAAAUUACAGAGGUGUCAGAAAAAACACAUUUGACUGUUCACAGUAAUUCAGAAAACCAGUCUUCUGUUGCAGAGAAUACAAAUUCGAAUGUGUCUGCCCAUCAGACAUCUACUGAAAAUGUUAUCUCUUGCAGCAACCUUAGAGAUGACACUAAAGUUCUUUUAGAGCAAAUUUCAGCAAAGAACCAACGCAGAUCUUCCCUGUCCAAGCAGAGUCUUGCUGCACCCAAUGAAGCCAAAAAGGCUGAGGUUAGCUCUGCAGAUAAAUUAUCAAGUUGUUCAGGAAGGCCCUGGUCCUCCAAGACUACACCAGAAGAGCGGGAGAUGUUACUACAAAAAAUGGAGCAAAUGCGUAAAGAGAGGAAGGUCUACAGCCGUUUUGAAGCCUCAUGAAUUAACCCAUUGGAAGAGGGGCUCCACUGAUGAACAAUAAGAGGGAAGCGAUUUUGUCUUAGCUCAUAACUGUGAACCUGCACAAACUUGGAUUGAAGUGUUUCAUAACUUCUGAUUAUACCAAAGAGUACUGCCUAUAUUGAGAGAGUGGAAAUCCCUGCAGGGCUUAACAAGCUAUGCAGAUGAUCUGCAUGACAGAAACUUUACCAGCUGGAAUAAGCUUUUGAUAGGGCAGGGAUUUCUUUAUGUGUAUAUAAAUAAUAUAGCUGUGAAACACAUUUCUAAAUAUAUUGUAGUCAUUGGGAGUUUCUAAAUAUAUUGUAGUUAUUGGGAGUUCUAUAUCUAGAAAUUAUGAUCUGUUGUAAAUACUGUAAAUAUAGAGUUGUUUACCUAACAAAAACAAGGAGUUUAUUAAAAAUGGAGCUGCCACAGACAGAGCAUGUGAGCGAUGUGGAGUGGGGAAGGAGUUGCAUGAUAUUGCCAGGAGCAAGGAGCAGGUUUUCUGAAAGACUCCAACAUCGUUCUGAUACUGCUCCAGCAUGUUAACAGAGUCAGACUAUUGUUCGUGUUUCAAUACAGCAUAAAACUUUGCUCCACAUAUUUUUUUUAUUAUUUUUCAUUUAAUAUAGGUAUUUUGUGCCCAGAUGUUUUUCAUUGAUAUUAAAAACCAACACUGAAAGAACUUCAUAGUGGAUCAGUAACUGGCCACACAUAUUUCUGUGUAGUGAACUUGAAGCAGUGAGCAGCAGGAAACUGAAAACAUGGAACAAAGUGGAGCUGGAGCAAAAUGAUCACAUGAUGCUUUGAGGAGGGAAAAGGGAAAUUGUUCAAUCAUACGAUCUGACGAGAGAAUAGAAAAGGACAUUCCACUAGAUGAUUAAUUUAAGUGUUUACUAGUCCAUCAGUUGAUUGUGUAAACCAAAGAUAUGCCACUGUAAAAUACAUUCUGUUGGUCUAUGUUGAUGCACAAUGGAAACUCCUAAAGCAUGUUUUUGAGUCCACAUAUUAAUGUGUAUAACAUGCAGCACCUUUUACUAAAAGGAGUUUCUCAAUAUACCAAAUUGAUACAAUAAUGUGCAAUAUUAUGAAUUUGGGAUGAAAUAUUGAUUUAUUUAAAUUGUGAAAUCUGUUUGUCAACAUUUGUCAGUAUAUUAAGACUUACAUCUGUUUUUGAUGGAGGUUCUCAUAAGCUACAUGUGUAGAGAACCAAUAAUGUCUGUUACAUGUUCCAACCUGUUCCAAAAGUUCUGUUUGAAUCAUGUUUAGAGCAAAAUGAGUACUACACUGAUAUAAACUAAAAUAAAACUGGAACGUAAGCCAUGUUCUUCAAAUAUUAAUAUCUCAAAUGUGUGUUAUGUGCUUUUGUCAGAACAGUUAUGAAACCAAAUGAUUAGUGGGAAGGAAUUUAUCACAGACAGAAUUUUUUUUUUUUUUUAUUAAUCUUCUGAUGAAAGAAUAGUUUACACAAUGUCUGUUUUUUGUUCAAUCUGUUAUCAUUGCCCUUACGGUACCAUUAUGUGUGUUUUAUAUGGGAACAAACUGAUAGUUGACUCAAAAAAUAAAAAGUCUGUUAUCAUUUACCUUCAUGUCAUUCCAAACCUAUGUGACUUUCUUCUGUGGAACAGAAAAAAAACAAGUGAAACAUGAUAAAUGAUGACAGUAAAUGGGUGCUAUAGACCAUGUUACAACAUGGAAAAUACUUUUAUAGAGAGUAUCACCUUUAGAAAAAAACGUAAGCGUGUUUAUAUGACAUCACUGAUCUUUAAUUAGCUACUCCGGCAGGUUUGAGUCAUGCUGCAAAAAUGUGAGCCAUGCAGUUAUGCUUAAAUUAAACCAAAUUACAGAACAUUAGUUUUUUUAGUCCUGUGAUUAUUUAAAAAUGUGUUGCAUAAUUGUGCUUGGAAGUAGAAAAAA
rnacentral:lncRNA from 1 species